ACUUGCAGGAAAUACAAUCUUAUUCCUCUACCAGUUGGCAUCUGUGCUGGGGAGGCCAAAUCUUCUGUUGAUGAUUAUCUACAGCAAGGGAUGCCUGGCACUCCACUGGCCAUUUUAAGAAGACAGGACCCUCAGCAUUAUGAGAUCACAAUCAUGGGGCCAAGCUGGUCCUGAAUACCUUCACCACUACAUGACUUCAACGGCCAUAGGUGAGAAGGGACAGAAAAUUGGAGACCAUCUGCCUGUACAACUCUAAUAUCCCAGGAAAGCCAAAAGCCAUCCCGAAUGGACCAGAUCUUUCAACAACCAGAUGCAGAAUGCACAGUCCCACUACUCAGGAACCUUCCUAACACCUAUCCGCAAUGACUCCACAUCUGGAAACCACCACCCAACCUGUCACCCACUGAACAAGGGAAAACAAGGGCCACGCCAAGACCAGAUCCUGCAUGUGUAAAAUCCCAGAAGUAAGGAAGUCACAGAAGGCAGCAUCGGUACCACAGAAGUCUUGAUUGCAUCUGGGGGUAUCAGGCAAAGAUCUAACACUUUCAUCCCACCCUGUGCUGCCAAACAUCCUGGGUGUCCCCCCACAAUGCUACUAUGCUGUUUGCAGUGCCGGAGGUGUGCUGGGUACACACAGGCAAAUAUACCUUCUCAUGGAGUUUCCUGAGUUGGGGUAUAGGGCAGGUGUGGGCAGAAAAGGGCUACACCCUCCAGAGAGAUUAGCUGGGCAUGAAGCAAAGAGGGAUUUAAACCCGAUAUCACAGCCAUUGAAAGCUGGCCUUUCCCAGCCCUGCCCCUGUUUCUCCCUGUGGCACCUGGUGCAGUCAUACACAGUCAUACACGCACCCCCGCCUCAUGAAAAGUGGCCUGAACCUUUGCACCAGGCCUGCCCCAUGGGAGGGAUAGAGGUGAGGGGGGAAGAGGCUGGAUUCCAUCCCAGGGAUAGUGAAGAGCCCAGCUUGGGAGAGGGCAAGGCAGCCACAAAGGGGGCAGGUUUUAUAUUGCCCAGAUAAGGGAGAGAGCCCAGCUGAAAUUCCUAGAUAACCUCUGGCAGAUAUAUGACUGGUCGGCAGAGACCUGCCCUCCCCUCCUCUGGUAAAUUAAAGCAUCCUGGCAAGCAAAGCCCCCAAGAUGUAAAUUACUGAAUUAACUUGGGGAGCAGAGUGGGGCCUGGAGGAGAGGCAGGGGCUGCACAGAGAUGCCCCCACGGCUUUAUGUAAACAGGCAGUCAGGCUCACUUCCCCUUUUGCUGCUUCCUCCAACAACUUUUCCCUCAGUCUCCGUUCCCAGAAGACGAGUAAACUGAGUCCCCCUCCUCCUUCCUCCUCACUCUGUCUGGUUGGGGGCUGUUGGGAGCCUGUUAGAGCUCCUUGUGGUCACAGACCUUAAAGACAGCAGAUCACACAUGUAAUAUCUUUAAUAAUGACACGAUGUGUAUAUGUGUGUGCACAUGCACACACAGGCCUUCUUAUCUAGGUGAGAGGGAUAUUUUGUGUGAAUAGGCCCCAAUGAAGAGAACAACGAACUUCACAAAGUUUCUUCUCCACGAAGUCCCUGAAU